AAUACGAAGGACCCGAGCGUUAUCCGGAUUUAUUGGGUUUAAAGGGUGCGUAGGCGUCCUGGAAAGUUACGGUUGAAAUCUCCUUGCUUAACAAGGAAACUGGCCGUAAAACUAUCAGGAUUGAGUACAUUUGAAGCGGGCGGAAUGUGUCAUGUAGCGGUGAAAUGCUUAGAUAUGACACAGAACACCAAUUGCGAAGGCAGCUCGCUAAACUGUAACUGACGCUGAGGCACGAAAGCGUGGGGAUCAAACA
rnacentral:rRNA from 1 species